rnacentral:rRNA from 1 species
GACGAAGGGGGCUAGCGUUGUUCGGAAUUACUGGGCGUAAAGCGCGCGUAGGCGGCUCUUCAAGUCAGGCGUGAAAGCCCCGGGCUUAACCCGGGAAUAGCGCUUGAUACUGUUGGGCUUGAGUCCGGGAGAGGAUAGCGGAAUUCCCAGUGUAGAGGUGAAAUUCGUAGAUAUUGGGAAGAACACCAGUGGCGAAGGCGGCUAUCUGGACCGGAACUGACGCUGAGGCGCGAAAGCGUGGGGAGCAAACAGG